UACGGGGGGGGGCAAGCGUUGUUCGGAAUUACUGGGCGUAAAGGGCUCGUAGGUGGCCAACUAAGUCAGACGUGAAAUCCCUCGGCUUAACCGGGGAACUGCGUCUGAUACUGGAUGGCUUGAGUUCGGGAGAGGGAUGCGGAAUUCCAGGUGUAGCGGUGAAAUGCGUAGAUAUCUGGAGGAACACCCGUGGUGCAGACGGCUUGCUGGACCGUGACUGACGCUGAGGCACGAAAGCGUGGGUAGCAAACAGG
rnacentral:rRNA from 1 species